rnacentral:rRNA from 1 species
AGAGUUUGAUCCUGGCUCAGAUUGAACGCUGGCGGUAUGCUUUACACAUGCAAGUCGAACGGCAGCAUAGGUGCUUGCACCUGAUGGCGAGUGGCGAACGGGUGAGUAAUGCAUCGGAACGUGCCCAAUCGUGGGGGAUAACGCAGCGAAAGCUGUGCUAAUACCGCAUACGAUCUACGGAUGAAAGCGGGGGACCUUCGGGCCUCGCGCGAUUGGAGCGGCCGAUGUUAGAUUAGGUAGUUGGUGGGGUAAAGGCUCACCAAGCCGACGAUCUAUAGCUGGUCUGAGAGGACGACCAGCCACACUGGAACUGAGACACGGUCCAGACUCCUACGGGAGGCAGCAGUGGGGAAUUUUGGACAAUGGGCGAAAGCCUGAUCCAGCAAUACCGCGUGCAGGAAGAAGGCCUUCGGGUUGUAAACUGCCUUUGUACGGAACGAAAAGGCUCUUUCUAAUAAAGAGGGCUCAUGACGGUACCGUAAGAAUAAGCACCGGCUAACUACGUGCCAGCAGCCGCGGUAAUACGUAGGGUGCAAGCGUUAAUCGGAAUUACUGGGCGUAAAGCGUGCGCAGGCGGUUUUGUAAGACAGGCGUGAAAUCCCCGGGCUCAACCUGGGAAUUGCGCUUGUGACUGCAAGGCUAGAGUACGGUAGAGGGGGGUAGAAUUCCGCGUGUAGCAGUGAAAUGCGUAGAUAUGCGGAGGAACACCGGAUGGCGAAGGCAAGCCCCCUGGAAUUUACUUUCUCAGUAACGAAGCUAACGCGUGAAGUUGACCGCCUGGGGAGUACGGCCGCAAGGUUGAAACUCAAAGGAAUUGACGGGGACCCGCACAAGCGGUGGAUGAUGUGGUUUAAUUCGAUGCAACGCGAAAAACCUUACCUACCCUUGACAUGUACGGAACUUGCCAGAGAUGGCUUGGUGCUCGAAAGAGAGCCGUAACACUGGUGCUGCAUGGCUGUCGUCAGCUCGUGUCGUGAGAUGUUGGGUUAAGUCCCGCAACGAGCGCAACCCUUGUCAUUAGUUGCUACAUUUAGUUGAGCACUCUAAUGAGACUGCCGGUGACAAACCGGAGGAAGGUGGGGAUGACGUCAAGUCCUCAUGGCCCUUAUGGGUAGGGCUACACACGUCAUACAAUGGCUGGUACAAAGGGUUGCCAACCCGCGAGGGGGAGCUAAUCCCAUAAAGCCAGUCGUAGUCCGGAUCGUAGUCUGCAACUCGACUACGUGAAGUCGGAAUCGCUAGUAAUCGUGGAUCAGAAUGUCACGGUGAAUACGUUCCCGGGUCUUGUACACACCGCCCGUCACACCAUGGGAGCGAGUCUCGCCAGAAGUAGUUAGCCUAACCGUAAGGGGGGCGAUUACCACGGCGGGGUUCGUGACUGGGGUGAAGUCGUAACAAGGUAACC